ensembl:misc_RNA Metazoa_SRP Metazoan signal recognition particle RNA
ACCGGGUGUGGUGGUGCAUGCCUGUAAUCCCAGCUACUCAGGAGGCUGAGGUGGGAGAUCACUUGAGCCCAGGAGGUUGAGGCUGCUGUGAAAUGUGAUCAUGCCACUGCACUCCAACCUGGGCAACAGAGUGAGAUCCCGUCUCAA